GUAGUCCACGCCGUAAACGAUGAGUGCUAGGUGUUAGGGGGUCCAACCCUUAGUGCCGAAGUUAACACAUUAAGCACUCCGCCUGGGGAGUACGGCCGCAAGGCUGAAACUCAAAGGAAUUGACGGGGGCCCGCACAAGCGGUGGAGCAUGUGGUUUAAUUCGAAGCAACGCGAAGAACCUUACCAGGUCUUGACAUCCCUCUGACCUCUCUAGAGAUAGAGAUUCCCCUUUGGGGGCAGAGGUGACAGGUGGUGCAUGGUUGUCGUCAGCUCGUGUCGUGAGAUGUUGGGUUAAGUCCCGCAACGAGCGCAACCCUUGAGAUUAGUUGCCAGCAUUCAGUUGGGCACUCUAAUCUGACUGCCGCAGACAAUGCGGA
rnacentral:rRNA from 1 species